UACGUAGGUCCCGAGCGUUGUCCGGAAUUAUUGGGCGUAAAGCGCGCGCAGGCGGUCCUUUAAGUCUGAUGUGAAAGCCCACGGCUCAACCGUGGAGGGUCAUUGGAAACUGGAGGACUUGAGUACAGAAGAGGAAAGCGGAAUUCCACGUGUAGCGGUGAAAUGCGUAGAGAUGUGGAGGAACACCAGUGGCGAAGGCGGCUUUCUGGUCUGUAACUGACGCUGAGGCGCGAAAGCGUGGGGAGCAAACAGG
rnacentral:rRNA from 1 species